rnacentral:lncRNA from 1 species
CACUUCACAGACUUUCUCUUCCUUCCUGAACAGUUGUGGACUCGCUGCUGGUAAUAAUCAGCAGACAGAAACUCGACUCUGUUAUCUGCUCUGCUGUUCUUGGAUGAUGAUGAUGAUGGUACUGGGGAUAAAUUAUAUGAAAAGCGUUGUUGGUGUUUUGAUGCUGAUCACAGGAAGGUCCCAUGGUCUGAUGUUUACUUGCGACGCAAGACAAAAUACUACAUGUUACACCGCCCUUGGACACCCGGUCUAUCUGCAGCUGAUAAAUGUUGAACAACCCCAGCUGAGUUUUACAGCAGGGACUCAAAGAAUAUUCAACAUAAAGAAAAAUAUAAUCACACGUCAGAAUCUCCCUCCAAAUUGGCAGUUUAUCAUUAGUAACUGGACCCUGAUUAUUAACCCUGUGGAGAGGAAAGAUACAGGAACAUACAGAACUGAGAGCCAUGAUGAAUACGGGAAAGUGGUGGGGAUAAACUGCUUACAUCUUUUUAUUGAAGCUCCUGUAUCCUCUGUGACUCUGAACAUCGCCUGCUUACCCUCUAGUGAGAGGAGGGUGACCUGUUCCUCCAGUGGGGACAGUCCUCAGUACAGCUGGACCCUGGACGGGACACCACUGGGUGAAGGUGGAACUGAUGUCAUAUUGAAGGAGGAAGCGACAGGAGCUCUAACCUGCACUGUCACCAAUAACGUCAGCAGCGUCAACAAAACUCAAGACCUGAAUCCAUGUAGAAGACCAUCAACCCCUCAGUCAACGUGUCCACCUCAAACAGGUUUAUUAGUGUUCAUCACAGUGUGGCUUGCUGAGAUCAUCGUUCUCACAUCACUCUGGGUUGGAUUCUAUUAUCUCUACACCAGGAACAACAGAUCCCAGACAAUAGUCAGGAAAUGCAGGUCACACACCGCUUCAGGAACCAGUGAUGAAAGCUAACUGUGCCAAAUGUUUGGGAUUUUAAAUUUUUUUGCGCUAAGGUCAUCAAUCAGAUUUUUAUGUAGCUUUUAGUUACUUUCAUUACUUGCCUGGUUUCUUAGCCCACCUUGUUUUCACCUCAGUGUGUAAGAGAACCUGCAUCUGGCUUUUUGGGGCAUCAACCCCUUCUGUUUUAUGUUGGUGUAAAUAAAUGUUGAUUUCCACCCUGUACCUGCA